AGUUCCAAUCGCAUAUAUCAAAGCUGUUGCGGUCAAAAAGCUCGUAGUUGGAUUUCUGCUGAGGACGACCGGUCCGCCCUCUGGGUGACUAUCUGGUUCGGACUGGGCAUCUUCUUGGAAAACGUAGCUGCACUUGACUCUGUGGUGCGGUACUCAAGACCUUUACUUUGAGGAAAUUAGAGUGUUUCAGGCAGGCACACGCCUUGAAUACAUUAGCAUGGAACAAUGAAAUAGGACCUUGGUUUUAUUUUGUUGAUUUCUAGAGCUGAGGUAAUGAUCAAUAGGGAUCGUUGGGGGCAUUGGUAUUUAACUGUCAGAGGUGAAAUUCUUGGAUGUGUUACAGACGGACUACUGCGAAAGAAUUUGCCAAGGAUGUUC
rnacentral:rRNA from 1 species